CCGCCGGGAGGGGCGGCAGAUGGAGAACCCCCCCGCCCGGGCUAGGGAGGGUGUGCCCGGGAAAGAAGACCGGGAGAGGAGGGGGCGUCUCCCCAGGCGGCUGGGACGGCUCCUCCGGGGGUCCGCGCCUUUCCAGAGAAACUCAGCGUUCGCAGACUCCUGCCCGGGUGCCCAACGGACAGCGGCCCGUGGCCCGGAGGGUCCUGCCCAGGGACCCGACGCUCAAGGCGGAGCUGGACUCCUUCUCCCCACCCUCCCGUGGUCACUGCGGGACCUGGUGGUCGUCACGCCCCAUUCCUCAACUUCAGAAGGAUCACUCUGGCCAAUUGUAGACCACAGCCUAUAGGAGUAGCCAAGGAAGCCUGAAGUCUAAUUAAGAGCUGGUUCAAGGCACCCAGGAGUCUUGGAUGCUUGCACUGGAGUAAGAGGAGCAAAGCUGUGAAGUCGAGACAAGGACCAGUUAAUGAUGCCUAGUGGAAGUGAAGCCAGCAGGAUGUGCUGAUGGAUGGGUGUGGACUGUGGGAGGGAAAGAAGAGGCCACUGUUUUGGCCCAAACAACUGGGUACCUGAGGGUUCUCUUUAUGGAGGUGAGGAAGAGAGGGGGUGAGUGACCUUGGUUGGUACAUUGGUACAGAUGAGGAAACUGAGGCUCAUAGAGGAGAUUAAGCCACUUGCUGGUAUGUGACAGCCCAUACAUUGAAAAUCAGCUCUCUGCACCCCCUGGAAGGAGCCGGGCCAGUUUAUGACCACCAACCCUAAGGCAAAUUGAGUAUUGCAUUGGUACGAACCGUAAGCCAUAUGUCAUCCCCUCUUUCAUUAACUCCAGGUCUAAGUCUGGCUAAGGUAGAGAGGAGUCAGAGGUGUGGAAUGUAGAAAUAAUACAUUCUUCCUCUCUCCGUGUGGAUAAAGAUUCCAGCCUUUAUUCCAUCUAAUGAAAAUAUAUUUAGGGAACAUUUAUUGGGGGCCAUUCGCUGUCUGCCCUUGUUCCUUUAUUUGUUUGCUUGCUCAUUCCUCGUUCCAUGUCAACUCCAUGAGGGGACAAUGUCUGACGUGCUCACCCCUGUAUUCCUAUCCCCUAAAACAAGUGUGUAUGUGAAGAUAAGUCCUUGUCCAAUGAAUGAAUACU
rnacentral:lncRNA from 1 species